GACAGAGGUGCCGAGCGUUAGGCAGAAUCACUGGGCUUAAAGCGUGUGUAGGCGGGCGAUCAAGUACCUUGUGAAAUCCCACGGCUCAACCGUGGAACCGCUGGGUAUACUGGUUGUCUUGAGCCGGCUAGGGGCGAGCGGAACAGACGGUGGAGCGGUGAAAUGCGUAGAUAUCGUCUGGAACGCCGAAGGUGAAAACAGCUCGCUGGGGCCGCGCUGACGCUGAGACACGAAAGCCAGGGGAGCGAACGGG
rnacentral:rRNA from 1 species